rnacentral:tRNA from 1 species
AGGAAUGUGGCUUAGUGGUAGAGCGCUUGCCUAGCAUGCAUGAAGCCCUAGGAUUCCAUUCCUU